GAUGAAGAACGUAGCGAAAUGCGAUAAGUAAUGUGAAUUGCAGAAUUCAGUGAAUCAUCGAAUCUUUGAACGCACCUUGCGCUCCUUGGUAUUCCAAGGAGCAUGCCUGUUUGAGUAUCAUUAAAUUAUCAACUGUGCCAAUUUGGUUACAGAUUGGAUGUGGGAGAUUCUUUUUGCAGGCCUUUGACUUCUCUUUGAGAAAAAAAAUAAAAGGUCGGCUCUCCUGAAAUGUAUUAGCAGUGCCUUUGUUGGUUCAUUAGGUGUGAUAAAUUGUCUACAUCUUCGCAUGAUACAUUCAUUUGUAAAGGUCAUAUUGCUUCUAAAUUGUCUUUGAUUGGACGCAAAACAUAUAUAAUGUUUGACAAACUUGAUCUCAAAUCAGGCAGGACUACCCGCUGAACUUAAGCAUAUAAUAAGCGGAGGA
rnacentral:misc_RNA from 1 species